UACGGAGGGUGCAAGCGUUAUCCGGAUUCACUGGGUUUAAAGGGUGCGUAGGCGGGUAUGUAAGUCAGUGGUGAAAUCUCCGGGCUUAACCCGGAAACUGCCAUUGAUACUAUAGGUCUUGAAUAUCCUGGAGGUGAGCGGAAUAUGUCAUGUAGCGGUGAAAUGCUUAGAUAUGACAUAGAACACCAAUUGCGAAGGCAGCUCACUACGGGAUUAUUGACACUGAGGCACGAAAGCGUGGGGAUCAAACAGG
rnacentral:rRNA from 1 species